rnacentral:rRNA from 1 species
UACGUAGGGACCAAGCGUUGUUCGGAUUUACUGGGCGUAAAGGGCGCGUAGGCGGCAAAUCAAGUCAGCUGUGAAAUCUCCGAGCUUAACUCGGAACGGUCAGCUGAUACUGUUUUGCUAGAGUGCAGAAGGGGCAAUCGGAAUUCUUGGUGUAGCGGUGAAAUGCGUAGAGAUCAAGAGGAACACCUGAGGUGAAGACGGGUUGCUGGGCUGACACUGACGCUGAGGCGCGAAAGCUAGGGUAGCAAACGGG